CCUACGGGCGGCAGCAGUGGGGAAUAUUGGGCAAUGGAGGAAACUCUGACCCAGCAACGCCGCGUGAAUGAUGAAGGUCUUCGGAUUGUAAAGUUCUUUUCUAAGGGAAGAAGAAAGUGACGGUACCUUAGGAAUAAGCCUCGGCUAACUAGGUGCCAGCAGCCGCGGUAAUACGUAGGAGGCAAGCGUUAUCCGGAAUGACGGGGCGUAAAGGGUGCGUAGGUGGUCUGACAAGUUGGUAGCGUAACUCCGGGGCUCAGCCUCGGCACUACUACCAAACCAGUCGGACGUGAGUGCAGGGGGGGCAAAUGGGAUUCCUAGUGUAGCGGUUGAAUGCUUAGAUAUUAGGGGGAACACCAGUGGCGAAGGCGAUUUGCUGGACUGUAACUGACACUGAGGCACGAAAGCGUGGGGAGCAAACAUGAUUAGAUACCCUAGUAGUC
rnacentral:rRNA from 1 species